UUUUAUUAAAAAGAGGAGGCCCCGAGGCUGACGCAGGACAUGCUGGAGGGAUUAUAUCUCCCAGCUGGCCUGGGAACACUGGGGAAUCCCCCGGGAGGACCUGGAACCUGUUGCAGCGGUAAGGGAGGUCUGAUCCUCCCUACUCU